GGAAUUUUGGGCAAUGGGGGAAACCCUGACCCAGCAACGCCGCGGGAAGGAUGAAGUAUUUCGGUAUGUAAACUUCGAAAGAAAGGGAAGAAUUAAUGACGAUACCAUUUCUAAGCUCCGGCUAACUAAGUGCCAGCAGCCGGGGUAAUACGUAGGGCGCAAGCGUUGUUCGGAUUUACUGGGCGUAAAGGGCGCGUAGGCGGCGUGGUAAGUCACUUGUGAAAUCUCCGAGCUUAACUCGGAACGGCCAAGUGAUACUGCUGUGCUAGAGUGCAGAAGGGGCAAUCGGAAUUCUUGGUGUAGCGGUGAAAUGCGUAGAUAUCAAGAGGAACACCUGAGGUGAAGACGGGUUGCUAGGCUGACACUGACGCUGAGGCGCGAAAGCCAGGGGAGCAAAC
rnacentral:rRNA from 1 species